UACGGAGGGGACUAGCGUUGUUCGGAAUUACUGGGCGUAAAGCGCACGCAGGCGGAUUUGUAAGUCAGGGGUGAAAUCCCGGGGCUCAACCUCGGAACUGCCUUUGAUACUGCAAAUCUCGAGUCCGGAAGAGGUGAGUGGAAUUCCUAGUGUAGAGGUGAAAUUCGUAGAUAUUAGGAAGAACACCGGUGGCGAAGGCGGCUCACUGGUCCGGUACUGACGCUGAGGUGCGAAAGCGUGGGGAGCAAACAGG
rnacentral:rRNA from 1 species